rnacentral:rRNA from 1 species
CAGUAGCCGCGGGAAUACGUAGGUGGCAAGCGUUGUCCGGAUUUAUUGGGCGUAAAGCAAGCGCAGGCGGUUUCUUAAGUCUGAUGUGAAAGCCCCCGGCUCAACCGGGGAGGGUCAUUGGAAACUGGGAGACUUGAGCGCAGAAGAGGAGAGUGGAAUUCCAUGUGUAGCGGUGAAAUGCGUAGAUAUAUGGAGGAACACCAGUGGCGAAGGCGGCUCUCUGGUCUGUAACUGACGCUGAGGCUCGAAAGCGUGGGGAGCGAACAGGAUUAGAUACCCCAGUAGUCCCUGUCUCUUAUAC